rnacentral:piRNA from 1 species
UCCCNGCCAGGCAACUUCAGUCCUCUCCA